UCAAAGAUGUCUCUCUCUCUCUCUCUCUCUCUCUCUCCCUUCCUUUUUAUCUCCCUGCCAUGAGAGGAUGCAGCAAGAAGACAGCCAUUGACAAACCAGGAAGUGAGUCUUCACCAGGAACCGAAUCAGCUGACACCUUGGUCUUUGACUUUCCAUCCUCCAGAAGUAUAAGAAAUAAGAUGUCUGUUGCUUAAGCCACCCAGCCUAUGGUAUUUCAUUUUAUGGCAGUCCAAGUUGACUGAGACAGUGUGUGAGGACAAGAACUUUGCCCAUGCUGUGAGAUUUGGUGCCCAACACACUUUCAAUGGAGUUGAUGGUCCAUAGGUGCCAAUCUGGCACUCAGAAGAGAGGUCUGGCCUAGAGACAUGGAUUGAAAUAUCAGACCCAAGAGGGAAUAGCAUUUCCCAGGAGUGUGUAUUAAGUGGGAACAGAAGGGAGCCAAAGGACAAGUCCUGAGCUUAACUCUGAAAAAGAGAAUGUUGGAAGGGAGCCAGCCAAGAGGCUUGAGAAGAGCAAAAGAGGAGGAAGGAAACCAGAAGCAUGCAGAGCCAGAGUGCUGGAGGAAGGAGGAAGAGUGUAUGUGUGUGUUAAAUAAGCAGAAGCAUAUUUAAAUGCUGGCAGGGACUAGCUGGUAAAAGAGUUUGAAGUCACCACGGAGGAAAGGAAAGCUGAGAUCAAAUCUAAAUGCUUCUUCCAGAGGUAUCAAGAAAAUAGAGCACAUGUUCAGUUCGGAAACUCAGUGAUGCAUGGUAUAGAAGACCUAGAUAUCUACUCUUUGCAAAUACUGAGGAGCAGACACAGAUGCAGCAAAUACCCUGUUCCAAGGAGCUGGUAGAGGAAGCAAGACACAGACAAAGGAUCAAACAGAGCAGCCAACGAAAUGAAGC